GUGGGUGUAUCAUCGGUUUCGCUCCUAAGUGCAUGUUUAGUCGACGUGUAUAGUUCGCUUUUUGUAUAUCAUGCUUUAAUUCAUCGAUUAGCAUCUUGAAUGUAAUAUGAAUGUAGAAGCAUGCUGCAAUGAAUAUUUAUAUUAUACAUGUUGGACUUGAAAUUUGACUUAGGAGAAAACCUGCGUUUUGACCCGUCAUAUGCUUAAACUACCAGAUUUAGCUAUAGGAGCCGAGAUUCGAUUGUAUCGUUGCAGUAUCAGUGCGAUGGAUACCUAGGGUAGUUUAGAAAGCAUUUACGCUCGUGCUGGGAUGCCGAGCUUAUUCUUCAGCAGAGUUUAGGCUGUUUCGGGUCGUUGGGUGCCGUUCGGGUUAGCGGUGGACCGAGAUUCUUGUUUUGGUCAGAAAUUGUGCCGAGGGCACGUGGGUUUGGUUUGUAGACCUGUUUUGACCCUAUUCACUUGACUUUGGCUAGNUAUAUAUAUAUAUAUAUAUAUAUAUAUAUAUUUAUUUAUUUAUUUAUUUAUUUAUAAAUAUAAUGUAUUUUAAUUAUAUAUAGGCUUUAAUUUAAUUUGGACUAUUAUUGUUGGCCUAUAAAAUAAAUCCAACAAGUACAAUCGUGCAAUUGAGCCCAACUCUAAAUUUACAUAACACACUCUCUCUUUCAGACUUUCACUGUUACACAUAACUCUAAAACAUGAUAACUUUCAAAUUCUCAAAUUCCUAAUUUUUUUCCCCUCUUUCUCUCUCUCUUUCUCGUUCUCCCUCAGACCCUCACCCACUCAGGCAGUCACCCUAGCUCACAUUUCUUGCAAUUAUUUUGUAUUUUGAACUAUCGGACAUGUUGUAUCAAAUUGUAGGUAAUGUUAUAUAAAAAUUAAACUAUUGAUUAUAUAAUGUCGAGAAUUUCAAUCGGCUCGUUUAGAGCUCGAGCUUGGCUCGACUCGAAAUUAGGCUUGCUUGAGCUCGGCUCGAAUUAAUCUCAAGCCGAGCUUGAGCCUAGAUUUAGGCUCGAAAUUAAUUUCAAGCCGAAUUUGAGCUGACAUAAGCUCGUCGAGCUCGGCUCGUUUCCACCCUUAACUUUGGCUAGUUGGAGCCUGAUUGAGCUCGACAGAGAUACGCUGCAUACUCGGUUGGGUAGCGCCCACGAGUGCCACUCCGGAGUCAGGCUUUGUGCUUUCGCGUUGGUGUCGCUCAUGCCGGUUGGACUUACUCUACACGGACCAGUUAGUGUGGAUAGAGCUGGAUAGUCGCAACUGGGCAAGGACGGGUGUGUUCACAGUCCCAGGGACGGGUACGUCUACAGUCCCGAUUGGAUUGGGUCAGAUUGGACAUUUCCUACAGUUGGUUAGUGUAGAGCAUGAUAGUGUAGUAUUUGAUAGCGGUAGAUUUUAUUCCUGCAUUUACUACUAUUCUUGCUCCCUUCUGUAGACUUAGUGGGUGGACCGAUGUUGUUUUGGGCGGUACCCACUGAGGACUACUUGUUUUUACAGUAGUUCUCACGUCCUGUUGUUACUUCAUUUUUGCAGAGCCAUCGUCUUCGGCUGCUGCUAUUGCUGAUCAGGAUUGAGGCAAGGGCGUCGCGAGUUAGAGCCCUACCGACAAGCCGAGCUAGGGGUGCCCUACUGCAGGUAGUAGUUUUGUUGGAGUUCAUGUACUUACCUACCUUUAACUCGCCAGUGCGAGUAGUUUUUGUGUAUCUUGGAUUUUGGGGUAUGUAUAUGGAACUCAGUUGGUUUUCUCCAUUUCUCCUAGCAGCUCUAUACUACUGUUUGUAGUAUUGUUUGAUUUACAGAUACAGCUAUCGCUUCGUAUAUAGGGAAAAUUCCUUUGUAUACGGCGGAUUUGUUCGCGCGCCCGGGGAACGUGUAAUCCGGGGCGUGACAGAUUAAGUUGGUAUCAGAGCUUAGUUGUAGGUCGUUGGGACCUAGAAACCCUAAGUUUCACAAACCUUAGGAAGGCAAGACGUGAGAGGCGUGAUUUAUCGCGAAAGUCAACGAUUUGUUGUUCUAACUCCUCCUAGAGUGGAGUGAGUGAUUGGAGGAGUUCCUGUUUUGUCCUGAAAAAUUAUGUUGGCUGCAGACGACAUAAUUUUGGGGAGAAACGGGGGCCGCCUUCUAGACUUUCGUUUGAUUGGGUCGAGAGUGUUUUGUUGUAUCUGACCCCUGUUUUGUUCUUUACAGCUAUGUAUCGUUGCCGAGGCCGACCGUCGUUGCGGGAGCGUGCGCAGUUGGCGCAGGAUCGUGCUAGAUCUCAUAAGAUGCCUUAGCAGGCAGAGGCGAGUGCACCCCUAGUUGUAGAGCAGAGGGCCCGACCGGAGGCGAGUGCAUCUCCGGAUUUGAGUGCACAGUUAGCCACUCUGACAGAGGUGACGAGACGGCAGGGGGAGUUAUUGGAGAGGAUGUGCGAGAGGUUGGUUGCGCCCCAGAGUUCUGUACCGAGAGUACCAGAGUCGCCAGUUCCACCCCCGACUACUCUAGUGACAGCACUAGCUGCAAUAGUUCCUCCAUCGGCAGCAGUUCCAGUAGCGCCAGUUGCGCCUGCUAGGGGGCCAGUAUCGUUGACUGAGGCCGAGCAGGAGCGGUGGACGGAGAGGUUAGCUCGUUUUCGCCGAUUUGACCCACCGAUCUUCGAUGGCAGAGGCACUGAGGCCUGGAUUGUUGAGGGAUGGGUCAGUGCGAUGGAGAAGUUAUUCGAGGAUCUGUUCGUUCCAGAGUAGGAGCAGGUACCUUUGGGAGUACACUGUCUGUCAAGUGAUGCACAUGAUUGGUGGCGGAGAGCAAGGCGAGACCAGGGACUGGUGGCGACGUAGUUGAGGUGGGAUGAGUUCUGUGGAAUGCUGUAUGGGAUGUAUUUCCCCAACAGCAUGAAACAGAAGAUCGAGGAGGAUUUGAAGAGGAUCCAGCAGGGUAAGCGGACAGUUCAGGAGUAUGUUCGGGAGUUUACUAGGUUCCUGAACUGUGUUCCGUUCGUGGCUAGAGACGAGGCACAUAGGGUCUACUUGUUUGAGCAGGGAUUGAGACCCGAUCUUUUCAGUUUCGUUAGGGCGCAGAGGUCGAGGACUCUGGAUGCGUCCAUUGAGCAGGCAUUAUGGGAGGAGAGAGGAGAGGUGUCGCUGAGAGAGAGGGCUCAGGGGCCGAGACCGAGCCAGAAUAGGAAGCGCCCAGCUCCAAACAACGGAGGCCAGUCGAGUAGCAGACGUCCGCCGAGGCCUCCACAAUCGCGUUCUCAGGGUAGUGGUUUCUCGGGACGCCAGCGAUCCAGGGACUCUCGUCAGAGGGGACAGCCAGAGAGGACGCCACAGUGUGUGAUCUGCGGAGGACCACACUGGCCCAGACAGUGUGAGCAGAGGGAGGGCCGGUGCUACCGGUGUGGUCAGCCGGGACACAUGAGAGCAGCUUGUCCUCGAGCAGCAUCUCCAGCACCAUCAUCAGCUUCAGCUCCACUAGCACCUCAGCAGUCAUUCAGAGCAGCGCCGAGUUACCGCCAGGAGGAUAGAUCAUCCAUGCCGCGACAGGGUGAGCGGCGACAGCAGGCUCCGAGUGGUAGAGUCUACGCAGCUCAGGUGGAGGACUCUACAGCAGCCGACCGAGUGGUGGCAGGUAUCACUUUGAUUUCAGGCAUUCGUACUCGCACUCUUUUUGAUACCGGUGCCACGCAUUUUUUUGUUAGCCGAGCAUUUGCAUUGUUGCAUGGUCCAGAGUUAGGGUCCUUGUCACAGGCACGAGAGGUGCAGAUCCCCGACCAUGUCUUGCAGGUUACAGAGUGUUGUUGGUCCUGUCCGGUGCAGUUAGACUCUUGGAUCAUGCCCGCAGACCUGUUGGUGUUUGGGCAGCUGCAGGACUUCGACGUAGUGCUCGGUAUGGAUUGGUUGGCGCGGUACUAUGCUACUAUUGACUGUGGAGCGAGGAUUGUGAUGUUCCGCGAGCCAGGCCAGGAGGAGUUCACCUUUAGAGGCUGCAGGAGCACGUUGUUUGCCACUUGGAUAUCUUCGGCGAGGGCUCGACAGCUGAUGAGUAGAGGAUGUGUUGCUUUUCUAGCGACUGUGACAGAGGUGCCUACGGCGUUGCCGGGACUCGAGGAUAUCCCUAUAGUCCGCGAGUUUUCGGACGUGUUUCCCCCGGAGUUGACGACGAUGCUGCCGGAGAGGGAGAUAGAGUUUGUGAUUGAUGUAGUUCCUGGAACUGCACCAAUCUCAAAGGCGCCUUACAGGAUGGCACCGGCAGAGCUGAGAGAGCUAAAGGUGCUGCUUCAGGAUCUGAUGGAUAGAGGGUUUGUGAGACCUAGUGUGUCGCCUUGGGGAGCGCCGGUGUUAUUUGUAAAGAAGAAGGAUGGUUCGCUCAGGUUAUGUGUUGAUUACCGGGAGCUGAAUAAAGUGACCAUCAAGAACAAGUAUCCUCUGCCGCGCAUUGAUGAUAUCUUGAUAUACUCUCGGAGCGAUGCCGAGCAUGAGGAGCACUUGAGGAUUGUGCUACAGCUUCUGCGCGAGAAGAAGUUGUAUGCCAAGUUAAAGAAGUGCGAGUUCUGGCUACGGGAGGUUGCUUUCUUGGGCCACGUGAUUUCAGCUGAGGGCGUAGCAGUGGACCCGAAGAAGAUUGAGGCGAUUCGAGAUUGGCCUAGACCGACGACGGUGACUGAGGUACGGAGCUUCCUGGGACUGGCAGGAUAUUACCGUCGGUUUGUGGAAGGCUUUGCGAAGCUUUCCACACCCCUCACGCGCUUGACGCGGAAGGGGAUUCGUUUUGUCUGGAGCGACGACUGUCAGAGGAGCUUUGACGAGUUGAGAUUGAGGUUGAUGUCGGCUCCUAUCCUUGCCCUUCCUGUUAUGGGCGAAGGAUUUGUGAUCUACAGUGAUGCAUCGCACAGUGGACUUGGUUGCGUGCUGAUGCAGCAUGGUAGGGUGAUUGCUUAUGCUUCACGGCAGUUAAAGGAUUAUGAGAAGAAUUACCCUACGCAUGACUUGGAGCUUGCCGCGGUGGUUUUUGCUUUGAAGCUCUGGCGGCAUUACUUGUACGGCGAGCACUGCGAGAUUUUUACUGAUCAUAAAAGUCUCAAGUAUCUGUUCACCCAAAAGGAGUUGAAUUUGAGACAGCGCCGGUGGUUGGAGUUGCUGAAGGAUUAUGACAUCAGUAUCCAGUAUCAUCCCGGCAAGGCGAAUGUGGUGGCAGAUGCGUUGAGCAGGAAGGCAGUGCAGAGCUUGAGUAUGUUGAUCACUCGGCAGAGACCGUUACUCGAGGAGCUGAGACGGCUGGGACUCGAGGUAGUGUCCCCUGGAUUUACUGCGAGAUUGAUGUCUAUGAUCUUGCAGCCCACUCUGUUAGAUAGGAUUCGAGAGAAACAGAGUGGGGAUCCACACUUGUCGAGGAUUCGAGAGCAGCUUGAGAGGGGACAGGCUGAGGGCUUUGUUGUGGACAGUUCGGGAGUACUGCGGUACAGGGACCGACUGUGUGUACCUAUGGAUUCAGAGAUCCGAGAGGACAUCUUGAGAGAGGCUCACUGUUCACCUUAUACGGUUCACCCCGGUGGAACCAAAAUGUAUAAGGAUUUAAAGGCUCAGUUUUGGUGGAAUGGAAUGAAGAGGGACAUUGGUAGAUUUGUGGCUCAGUGUCUGACUUGUCAACAGGUAAAGGCCGAGCAUCAGGUACCUGCUGGCAAGCUUCAGAGUCUACCAGUGCCCGAGUGGAAAUGGGAGCAGAUCACGAUGGACUUUGUCGUCGGAUUGCCGAGAGCACAGGGUGGUUUUGAUGCGAUUUGGGUGAUAGUGGACAGACUGACCAAGUCUGCUCACUUCUUACCAGUGCAGACCACUUGGUCCAGAGAGAGACUCGCUCAGUUGUAUUUGGAUGAGAUAGUGAGGUUGCAUGGCAUGCCCACUUCGAUAGUAUCCGACCCGGACCCGAGGUUCGUAUCGCACUUUUGGAGGAGUCUUCAGACGGCCUUGGGCACUCAGUUGCAGUUCAGCACAGCAUUUCACCCACAGACAAAUGGUAAGUCAGAGCGGACUAUUCAGACUCUAGAGGACAUGCUGAGGGCAUGUGUCUUGGACUUUGGAGGAGGGUGGUAUCGGCAUUUGAGACUGGUUGAGUUUGCAUACAACAACAGCUAUCAAGCGAGCAUCCAGAUGGCUUCGUUUGAGGCGUUGUAUGGACGCAGAUGUCGAUCCCCUUUGUUUUGGAGUGAUGUGGGUGAGAGGAUGACGCUUGGGCCUGAGAUUCUGAUCGAGGCUGAGGAAAAAGAGUCAACAGAGGAGCUAUGCUGAUACCCGGAGACGAGACUUGGAGUUCCAGGUGGGAGAUCAUGUUUUUCUUAAACUCUCGCCGUCCAGAGGGAUUCGCCGAUUUGGAGUACGUGGAAAGCUUAGUCCACGUUUUGUAGGCCCUUUCGAGGUAUUGAAGCGAGUCGGGCCAGUUGCUUACAGGAUUGCUCUACCACUACGGCUAGCCGGCAUUCACGAUGUUUUCCACGUCUCGGCUUUGAGGAAAUAUGUGUUCAACCCCUCCCACGUGAUUCACUUCACUCCGCUUCAGAUUGGCGAAGACCUGAGUUAUGCGGAGCGACCGGUGCGGAUUCUGGCUCAUGAGUCGAGGGAAUUGCGCAACCGGGUCAUACCCUUUGUAAAGGUGCAGUGGAGUAAUCAUGAGGAGCGGGAAGCGACUUGGGAGCCGGAGACGGUAAUGAAGGAGUCUUACCCCUACCCGUUUGAGGCCCUGGAUUAAAGUAUGUUUUCAGUUUCGCGGACGAAACUUUUUGUAGUGGGGGAGGAUGUAGUGUUCCUGAGCUUUGGAUAGGAUUGGCUUCAGUAUUAGUGACUGGUCGACAUCUCUGGAGAGUGUCGGACUGAGUCGGAGUCAAUUCCGCAUGAAUUGGAUGCAUAAUUGGACUCGACGCACUCAAUUAAGCAAAACUGGAGUUUUGCCAGUUUCGAGCACCCAGAACAUUUUUAGGGUCGCCCAGAAACGAGUGUUGAAUUUAACUGAAACUGAAAGCCAAUUCGGAUCCCAUGUUCUGGGCGCCCAGAUGUGGGUUCGAAAAUUCGACAUCGUGAAUAUCGCUUGCUUCGACGCGUGGCAGGCGGUAGGUGAGUUCCGUCGGAGCCAUUUACGGGCGCAGCACACAGCGAGCGGAGAGUUCGAGGAGCCCGUUUUGUGCAGGCUGGAUGUUCUGGUCGCCCAGAACAUGGUUCCGGGCGCCCAGAAACGCCCGUUUCUGCAGGGACACUGGAUAGCAGCUUGAGUUCCUGAGGCUUUUUGGAUCAUUCUAACUCACUAUAAAUACCUGGUAAACACCCCUUUGCUGCUCUUUUCAUCCCUUCUUCACAGAAAAGUCUCUUUUAGCAUCUCUACCCUCGGAUUUGCCUCAAAUUGCAUCAAACUUCCAUUGAUUCAACUUGAUGGAGUGCUGAUUCUGCAGUUCUUCAGCGACGACCUCCAGUGUAUUGGCUCGUGCGCGACGUAGGAAGGUCGGAUUUCGACGAAACUUGGUUUGCUGGAUUCUAGACUUCCAAAGAAAUCCACGAAGACAUUAAUUGCAGAUUUUGGUUGAGGUUAGCUUGGUCGAACUGAGAUUUUUCUGGACUGCUGUUGGCUUUGAGCUGAAAAUAGAAUUUUUGAGCUUUUCUUGAUGCUAUCUUUGUUGCCAGUGGGAUUUUGGACCUGAGUUGGAUCACCCCUCAGAAUUUGCUGGUUUUGGAACUGUACUCACCUAAUUUGUAGAUCAUUAGGUGAGUUUUGACAUUGGAAUUGAGAAGUCCAAGCUUAAGUGCUGAAAUUGGAUUUUUAUUAGUGGUUUUUGGUGGAUUUGAGGUUUAGAUCCUGAUUGUGGAUCUUUGCUGGCUGUAAGCUUGUGCGACUGGUUCCAGCAAGGUGUCCCGCAGCUGAGUGACCUUCUUGCUGCCAGGAUUUUGCUCUCGAGGUGGGUGUAUCAUCGGUUUCGCUCCUAAGUGCAUGUUUAGUCGACGUGUAUAGUUCGAUUUUUGUAUAUCAUGCUUUAAUUCAUCGAUUAGCAUCUUGAAUGUAAUAUGAAUGUAGAAGCAUGCUGAAAUGAAUAUUUAUAUUAUACAUGUUGGACUUGAAAUUUGACUUAGGAGAAAACCUGCGUUUUGACCCGUCAUAUGCUUAAACUACCAGAUUUAGCUCUAGGAGUCGAGAUUCAAUUGUAUCGUUGCAGGAUCAGUGCGAUGGAUACCUGGGGUAGUUUAGAAAGCAUUUACGCUCGUGCUGGGAUGCCGAGCUUAUUCUUAAGUAGAGUUUAGGCUGUUUCGGGUCGUUGGGUGCCGUUCGGGUUAGCGGUGGACUCAGAUUCUUGUUUUGGUCACAGAUUGUGCCGAGGGCACGUGGGUUUGGUUUGUAGACCUAUUUUGACCCUAUUCACUUGACUUUGGCUAGUUGGAGCCUGAUUGAGCUCGACAGAGAUACGCUGCAUACUCGGUUGGGUAGCGCCCACGAGUGCCACUCCGGAGUCAGGCUUUGUGCUUUCGCGUUGGUGUCGCUCAUGCCGGUUGGAC
rnacentral:lncRNA from 1 species